GCGCCGUAGCACAAUUAGUUAACGCGUGGAACCUCUAAUGCGAAGACUGCGGGUUCGAAUCCCGCCAGAGUGCG